rnacentral:rRNA from 1 species
AUUGAACGCUGGCGGCAGGCCUAACACAUGCAAGUCGAACGAGUGGCGGACGGGUGAGUAAUGUCUGGGACUCUGCCUGAUGGAGGGGGAUAACUACUGGAAACGGUAGCUAAUACCGCAUACCAUCGGAUGUGCCCAGAUGGGUUUUGCUAGUAGGUGAGGUAAAGGCUCACCUAGGCGACUAUCCCUAGCUGGUCUGAGAGGAUGACCAGCAACACUGGAACUGAGACACGGUCCAGACUCCUACGGGAGGCAGCAGGGGGGAAUAUUGCACAAUGGGCGCAAGCCUGAUGCAGCCAUGCCGCGUGUAUGAAGAAGGCCUUCGGGUUGUAAAGUACUUUCAGUGGGGAGGCGUUACCCGCAGAAGAAGCACCGGCUAACUCCGUGCCAGAAGCCGCGGUAAUUC